CGGCCGGCGGCGCCCUCAGACCGGCGGGCCGGGUCUCGUCUCCGCCCCCCGGUCGCCUCCGCCCCGAGCGCGGCUCUUCAGGUAACGAUCAGUGGAGGGUUGACUGAGCUCCCAGGACUCCAACUCCACCAGCCUCCCAGGUGACGUCCUGAGACAGUGCUUCUCAGACCCUCCUCCUCAGGCUCGGCGGGCAUGCCCUUGAGGGAUAAUAAGUGUACCCCAAAAGCACCAGUCCUAAAUGCAUAGCCUGAUGAAUUAUUGCAUAUGUAUCCCCUUGUGUCAUCACCACCUAGAUCAGGAUAAAGAAAACUUCCAGCACCUCACAAGAGUCCCUCUUGCUUCUUCCCAGUCUGCAUCCCAACCCAACGGGAGCGAGGUGUGGCAACUGCCUGAGAUCCACCCAAUGGAAUGUGAGCAGAAGUGAUUGGCCCCAUCCCCAGGCCUGGCCACAGCAUCCUCCCGCGCCUUCCUCUCCGUGUUUUCUCCCCUCUGCUGGCUCAGUGUUGAUUCUCGGGUGACCUGUGAAACCACCUGCUGAUGCAUGGCUUGACAAGCGGUGCCAUGUCCACACCCGGGAUCCAAACCAGCGAACCCCGGGCUGCCGAAGCAGAAUGUGCACGCUUAACCGCUGUGCCACUGGGCCGGCCCAGCAUUUUCUAGAUUGCAAAAAUAACAAACUCCUAGCUGACUCUUCGGUAACGGGAACUGUCGUGAAUCCUUAAAGGACAUGAAUAAGUCACGGAGAGGGUCUGCGUCACACCGGACGUGCGACUGUGAAUGGAAAGACCGAUGUCAGGCUUUCAGACUCGGAAAACAGCACCUGUGUACUCAUUUAUUCUUCAGUCGUGCCCAGCUUGGGGACCGAUUUCCAUGGAGAUUACCUAGAGCUUUGUGCAGAACAGCUGCAGUCCAGGCUUUGCUGUGGUGAUUGUCUUCUGCCGGUCCCUGUGUGCUGUCACGGCCGCAAUGCUGACGGAGCUGCUCAGGAAGCCAGAUGAGAGCUUGGUGACACUGCGAAGAUGCUGGUGGCAGAUGGAGUGGCAGAGCAGGCAGCAAGCAAGCUGGAAUAUGGAUGUUCUGUCUCGGGAAAGGUUUUGCACAGCAGAAAAGAAGCGGGGUCAGAAACAAGUGCCAGAGGCAGGCAUGCAACUGUGGGCCAAGUGACAUCCUGCAUGCCAGGAGGAGGACGGCAUCGGCCACGUUCCCACACAGACUGGGGACUCCGGGGAAGAAAGACACUCUCCAUUUUUUCACGUGCUUCACGUGGAAGCUUUCUGUGAGAGGAAAUCUGCGGUAUUGGGGGAACCCAUUCCCGUGUGUGCUGUGUACAACUGGAGGUAUUUUAAGGGGGUGGAAACUUACUGCCUACCCACUCUUUGUACAGAUGUGCUCCUGUUGAUUAAAGGAAUUGGCCCUAGCGUCCUUUUUGCUUUCCUUCAUUGAUCCACAUCCCUGAUUUUAAGUCAUUUUGUGAAAACAGAAUUCGCACUUAACGAAAAAACCAGGAAGGUUUUGGGAGCAGUUUCUCUUGAGCCAGUUAGAAAUUGUAAAAUCCUGUCUCUGCAUCAAUUCCACGACAUUAAAAGUACAGUCUGUACAAUGAAGGUCUCAGAAAAUGAUGCUAUUUAUUACCUUUUCA
rnacentral:lncRNA from 1 species